AUACAGAGGGUGCGAGCGUUAAUCGGAAUUACUGGGCGUAAAGCGCGCGUAGGCGGCUUAUUAAGUCAGAUGUGAAAUCCCCGGGCUCAACCUGGGAACUGCAUCUGAUACUGGUAAGCUAGAGUUUUGGAGAGGGAAGUAGAAUUUCAGGUGUAGCGGUGAAAUGCAUAGAGAUCCGAAGGAAUACCAGUGGCGAAGGCGACUUCCUGGCCAAAAACUGACGCUGAGGUGCGAAAGCGUGGGUAGCAAACGGGAUUAGAAACCCUAGUAGUCC
rnacentral:rRNA from 1 species